rnacentral:rRNA from 4 species
CGGAAGUUAAGCCCUCCAGAGCCGAUGGUACUCCGCGGGAAACCGCGUGGGAGAGUAGGUCGCUGCCGGAU